UACGAAGGGGGCUAGCGUUGCUCGGAAUCACUGGGCGUAAAGGGCGCGUAGGCGGACUCUUAAGUCGGGGGUGAAAGCCCAGGGCUCAACCCUGGAAUUGCCUUCGAUACUGAGAGUCUUGAGUUCGGAAGAGGUUGGUGGAACUGCGAGUGUAGAGGUGAAAUUCGUAGAUAUUCGCAAGAACACCAGUGGCGAAGGCGGCCAACUGGUCCGAUACUGACGCUGAGGCACGAAAGCGUGGGGAGCAAACAGG
rnacentral:rRNA from 1 species